UUACCCAAGGUCUGAAGGGUUUGGUGAAGGUCAGAACUCAGGCUGCGGGGCCCCAGUUCUAUGUCCUUUGGGGCAGCACCUCAGGAUAGAGGUAAAAGAAGCUGGCCCCCAAAAUCUAAGCUAAGUCUCUUUAAAUAUGCUGCGCUGACUGGCCCAUCACACCUGGUUUGCUUUUCAUGCCAGUUCCACCACCUACUAACGGGGUGACCUUGGACACAUGCUUAAUGUCUCAGCACUUCAGUCUUCCCAUCUGUGAAGUGGGGUGAUGAGGAAAGCCACCAUGGCUUGUUGACUUUACAAUGAGCCUGAACUGAACUGUCCCAGUCCCAGUAGUGAUCCCAGCUGCCCCACCCCCUACUCAUGCCAUUUAGAAGUGCAUGAAGUGAGGGCCAGGAGAGGGAAGGAGGCACACACACACCCAGCAGGACUGGCUACCGAAGAAGUGACCUUGACCCCUGGAGCCCCUCUCCGGCCCCUCCCCAGAGCAGUGGGGUGGCCACUUUCUUGGCAUCUCCCCAGGGAAGGAAGCCUUUGAUACCUAACUGGGUCUCAGAAAGGGAACAAAGGGAUACUUUCUGCAUGAAAAGCCACCUGCUGGUGCAGGGAAGAAACCCCGAUUCAUAGAGCUGGAUGUUGCCUGACUGCAGACUCGGGAAAGAAGUCCAUGGGGUCUGCCCCCGGGGGGCUGCCCACACAGAGGCACCAGAGAUUCGGAGGGGGGAUAUUUUUUCCUCUUCCUCCCUGGGUACCAAUUUGACCAUUCACACAAUCUCCCUCAGCAAAUCAAGACAGGACAGAGAAGGUCUCGUCCAUUUCUUCUUAGAAGCUUCUCAAGUUCACCGGUUGACCCGCAUUAAGGCAGAACUGCUAUAAAUAAGAACUGGCUUAAGAAAUUCCUUGAAAAACUACAGGAUGCAAAAAAUUGUUCAAAUGGAGUAUUAAAAAUACGUCAAAUUGGGGAUGAGGGUGUUGCUGGGCUCAUAGUGAACAGGCUCUGGGUGAAUGGGUGGUAGGAGUCAGAGUAGGAUGAUGGGCAAUGACCCAGGCGGAUAAAGACCUCGCUGCCUCCCCCGCAAAAGAACCACUGAGAAAGCAACUACACGCCAAUAAAAACAACAAAACUACAAGGAUAUAUUGUACA
rnacentral:lncRNA from 1 species